GCCAAUCUCCAUAUGGACGGGUCCUGUUGCAAAAAUAACAAAGCAGAAAGACAACAUUAGGAACCUCGUUUUACCCAUAAAUGCUAAAGAUUAGAAUUAAUGCAUUGCUAAUCAUCGAUAAAACACUCAACGACACCAGGUGGCAUAAACCCAUUUUCAAAGAUAAAAUCUCGGCUUGGGUACGAAAUUCCAAUUCAAUUGAUGGAACUGGCAAGUAGCAAGGGAGAGACAGAGAAAGGAAUAAGGAGGAAAAAUCAAUAACUUCGCAGCUAAAGAUCUU
rnacentral:misc_RNA from 1 species